rnacentral:rRNA from 1 species
GACGAACCGUACGAACGUUAUUCGGAAUUACUGGGCUUAAAGGGUGCGUAGGCGGCGCAGUAAGUAGGGUGUGAAAUCCCUCGGCUUAACCGGGGAACUGCGUCUGAUACUGGACGGCUUGAGUUUGGGGAGAGGACGCGGAAUUCCAGGUGUAGCGGUGAAAUGCGUAGAUAUCUGGAGGAACACCGGUGGCGAAGGCGGCGUCCUGGACCAACACUGACACUGAGGAGCGAAAGCCAGGGGAGCAAACGGG